rnacentral:rRNA from 1 species
GAUGAACGCUGGCGGCGUGCCUAAUACAUGCAAGUCGAGCGAACAGACGAGGAGCUUGCUCCUUUGACGUUAGCGGCGGACGGGUGAGUAACACGUGGGUAACCUACCUAUAAGACUGGGAUAACUUCGGGAAACCGGAGCUAAUACCGGAUAAUAUUUCGAACCGCAUGGUUCGAUAGUGAAAGAUGGCUUUGCUAUCACUUAUAGAUGGACCUGCGCCGUAUUAGCUAGUUGGUAAGGUAACGGCUUACCAAGGCAACGAUACGUAGCCGACCUGAGAGGGUGAUCGGCCACACUGGAACUGAGACACGGUCCGGACUCCUACGGGAGGCAGCAGUAGGGAACCUUCCGCAAUGGGCGAAAGCCUGACGGAGCAACGCCGCGUGAGUGAUGAAGGUCUUCGGAUCGUAAAACUCUGUUAUUAGGGAAGAACAAACGUGUAAGUAACUGUGCACGUCUUGACGGUACCUAAUCAGAAAGCCACGGCUAACUACGUG